UACGUAGGGUGCGAGCGUUAAUCGGAAUUACUGGGCGUAAAGCGUGCGCAGGCGGUUCGUUGUGUCCGAUGUGAAAGCCCCGAGCUCAACUUGGGAAUGGCAUUGGAAACUGGCGGGCUGGAGUGUGGCAGAGGGGGGUGGAAUUCCACGUGUAGCAGUGAAAUGCGUAGAGAUGUGGAGGAACACCGAUGGCGAAGGCGGGUAGCUGGGCCGACACUGACGCUGAGGCGCGAAAGCCAGGGGAGCGAACGGG
rnacentral:rRNA from 1 species